GUAGGGUGCAAGCGUUAUCCGGAAUCAUUGGGCGUAAAGAGCUCGUAGGCGGUUCAGCAAGUCGGCUGUGAAAUCCCGAGGCUUAACCUCGGAACUGCAGUCGAUACUGCUGUGACUAGAAUCCGGUAGAGGAGAAUGGAAUUCCCGGUGUAGCGGUGAAAUGCGCAGAUAUCGGGAGGAACACCAGUAGCGAAGGCGGUUCUCUGGGCCGGUACUGACGCUGAGGAGCGAAAGCGUGGGGUAGCAAACAGGAUUAGAUACCCUGGUAGUCCACGCCGUAAACGUUGGACACUAGGUGUGGCGUUCCGACCAACGGGUGCCGUGCCGAAGCUAACGCAUUAAGUGUCCCCGCCUGGGGAGUACGGCCGCAAGGCUA
rnacentral:rRNA from 1 species